UUUUCAUAGACCAGUAUCCACGACGGAAUAAGCAAAAGCGUUUUCUCCUUUGUCAAGCUUGGAUGGAGGCAUGAUGUAUCUAUGGUCUGGGGUGCAAAUGACAACAUAAGUGCAGCCUUCUGAAAGAUGACAUCUCUUUCAACCCAGUGUGACUGACAGAACCGGCUCUCCAGAAACAACACCCUAAAGCCAUAUCAAAAGGUCGGCUGUGGCCUGAUAUAGAGGGAGCAAAUGCCAUCCCAUCCUUCCCAGCAGAAAAGACCAAUAUUGGGGGAAACUAAUAUCUGGUGUUAAUGUAGAAUUCUUCUCAGCUGAUAAUCACAAGCAUCAUGCUCUACUCGACAAGGCAAACAUCUGCAUUAUAAAAUAAGGUUGAAAUAAAGACAAAUGGUCGGAGGGAAGGCACGAGCUAAAUCCAUCCCACUGUGAUCAGAUGGACAACACAUGGGCCAUACAGUGCCCGGCUCUGAGCACAUAAUUAUACACUCUGUGUGCGCUCACCGGCAGAUGGAGGGGUUGCUCGGAAUGUACCGGAUACCAUCUCCCCAAGACUGGAAGAGGAAUUUCCACUUGAUUUACUGUAGGAAAAAAAAUGAAUACAGUUAUAGCAGAAAACCUUAAAGCUCCAAGGCACAAUAAAAAAAAGACAUUUAAACAAGAAAGCAAUUUCAGAGCUACAAAUAUUAUGAAAAAUCAAAAGAAGAAAAUG